rnacentral:misc_RNA from 1 species
GUGAGUCAUCGAAUCUUUGAACGCACAUUGCGCCCGUUAGUAUUCUAGCGGGCAUGCCUGUUCGAGCGUCAUUUCAACCCUCAGGCUUCACGUCUGGUGUUGGGGUUCCCCUGCGGCUAGCCGUAGGGCCCUGAAAAAUAGUGGCGGGCUCCGCUAUACUCCGAGCGCAGUAAUUACUUCUCGCUCAGGGCGUGUAGUGGGGAUCCUAGCCUCAACUUACAAAUUUUUUUUGUUGACCUCGGAUCAGGUAGGAAUACCCGCUGAACUUAAGCAUAUCAAUAAGCGGAGGA